rnacentral:rRNA from 1 species
AUUGAACGCUGGCGGCAUGCCUUACACAUGCAAGUCGAACGGUAACAGGUCUUCGGAUGCUGACGAGUGGCGAACGGGUGAGUAAUACACCGGAACGUGCCUAGUAGUGGGGGAUAACUACUCGAAAGAGUGGCUAAUACCGCAUGAGAUCUACGGAUGAAAGCAGGGGAUCGCAAGACCUUGUGCUACUAGAGCGGCCGAUGGCAGAUUAGGUAGUUGGUGGGAUAAAAGCUUACCAAGCCGACGAUCUGUAGCUGGUCUGAGAGGACGGUCAGCCACACUGGGACUGAGACACGGACCAGACUCCUACGUGAGGCAGCAGUUGGGAAUUUUGGCGAAAGGGCGCAAGCCUGAUCCAGCAAUGCCGCGUGCAGGAUGAAGGCCUUCGGGUUGUAAACUGCUUUUGUACGGAACGAAAAGCCCUGGGUUAAUACCCUGGGGUCAUGACGGUACCGUAAGAAUAAGCACCGGCUAACUACGUGCCAGCCGCCGCGGUAAUAC